UAUUGAUAUAUUGAGAACCAUGACCACAGUAAUUGAAACAGUACAUAUGCAGCAGGUUUGUAUAAAAAAAGUUACACACAUGUGUGCAGUGUGGUCUGAAGUAUUAUCAUUACUGCUUAGGGAACUAAAACGUUUCACUGGGGAUAACUACAGCAGCCAAAAAUCAGCUAUUAUGUAAUAGAGAUCAAUUGUGCUCAAGCAGUAAGCAGGAGUCUGAUUACAGGAGACAAUCUCUCUUCAAUACCAUCAAGUGGACGUAUGUGCUGUGGGAUGGCAGCACAGCCCAUAUAGUAACACCCUCUCUAGCACAGAUACAGCUGCUCCCCAAGGGAAUCAAAAGUGAAAUUCUUGGGUGUUUUCACAGAACAUUCAAGAAAGUUGUUAAUUAAGAAGGUUACAUUUAUGCAACAAAAACUCAUCUUCUUAUUCUUCUUUUCCCUCCCACCUUGCCCUAUCUUCACAUCAUUUCUCCUUAUUCAGUGUUUGUUAGCAGACAUAAGUCAUUCUCUGCAAGGAUAAGUGAGACAUUUUUCUUCUUUAAUUUCCCUUUCUAACUGCCCUUGCCAUUUUGUAGGAAAAUUUCCAGCUUGAAAGAGAACAGUGCAUGCUUGCUGUGGAUAUCAUGUGAACAGAAAUUACGUGGUUUGGAUUUGUGAGAAUUCCAGGAGAAAAAGUGUUGCAAGUAAUCUCCAUAAUUUAUUUUUAAAAAAAAAAAGCUCAGGAAAUACCCUAAUGAUUUAGCUGACAAUAUCCAAAAAGAGAUUCAUGAGGUUCUCUGACUCCUAGUAAGUAAGUACAUUUGCUUAAGAUGUAAUUGAAAAAAAAUGUGUUACCGUUUAGAUUUUCCAUUUUGUGUCUCCUGUCCAGGCACAGUUCAUUGCUGGCAACUCUUGAUUUAUACUAUGUAGUUUUUCAUCAUCCUAACAGUCCUGCCGGAGCUACAAAGUUAAUGGCUGAAGGGAGAUAGGUACCAGAGAACAGCUGGGGAAGGCUGGAGUGAAAGGCUGGUGACAUCUAUAGAUCUACGGAGUUACUGCAGUUUCCUUUGCCUUUUGCUUUCCUCAGUCAUUCAGGCUGAUGACAAAAACGCAAGACUUUGCUUGAAAAAUAGUCCUGUGCUGCCUCACCACUGCAAAACACUGCCUGACCAAACUGUUGUGUUUUUAGGAAAUGCUCUUUUCCAGGGGGUAGGUGGACAGAGAGGAACCAGGAUUGCUUAGUUUAAAUCAGUGAUGGAUAUUGGAUGGAAAGGAGACAUUCUCAUAAAAAAAUUACUUCCCAGCAAAGUUUGAAGAAUCAAAGUUAAUAUCAAACAUCAUACUUACCAACCAGGGAAGUAGUUUCAGAACACAUGCUUGAGGAUAAUUUGUCUUGUUGCCAUCAGCUUUUGACAUCCAAAAAUCACAUUGGAAUGAGCUGUGGAAAGAAAGGAACAAACUCUGGAGCGCAAUAAUAAGAUCUGUGAGUUUGUGAUCAUUUCCCUGACUGAUCCUCCACAAAGCUUAUAGACAAAGUAGUGGAUGAGCUGGUUUGAGAGCCUAUGAUGUUACAAAAUUCUCUCUUGCAUCACUGGUUUUAUACAAAGAAAACAAUUCUCAGCAGUCAGAUCUACUUGUUUGUCUCUGAGGUAAGUUUUAUUCCUUUCAAUAAAAAUUCAUCUGUCU
ensembl:lncRNA